GUAAAUUUGGUUGAAAUAUAUUCAUUUUUUGAUUUUUAACAGCUGUUGUAACCUUUUUUUCUGGAUAUCCCUCGUACAUAAAGUCUAUGCAGUGCCUUAAGACUAAUGCUGUGCUGAGUUGUUUUAACUGGGACAACUUUUAAUGCCUUACUGACAAGGGAAUUGGCUAUUGAAUGGUAAAUAACCUCAUCUCUGAUGUGUGAGAGUCUGCACUGAUGAAAAGCUGCACACCGAGUGUCUUCUCAAUGGAAUACAUCUUUAUUAUGACACCUGGUCCUGGUGCAUAAUGGGCUAGGUUGGUUUAACAACAGGCAAGCAUGUUAAGUAUGGGCACACAUGAUUAGUUCUGUGCCAUAUAAAUCCCAUAUCUUCACUUUGGCAAGAAAUAAUGCCACUGAAACAAAUGCAUAUUUUCCCAUGCUGUACAUUCAUAUCUUGAGUCCUGGAAAGCUUGAAUAAGAUGAAUGCAUUUUUCACAAGAAGUUCAGUGCCAUAAUGAAGAAAUGAGGAGAAAACUCAAAUUUCGGAGAUUAAAGAUGCCCUUUAUACUUGUGUACUGAACAAAAAAUCUUUCAGAAAAUUGAGUUUUAGUAUUGGAAGUAAUUACAUGCUGAAGAAGUCACAAUUUACAUGUUUCUUGGUAAUUCACUGUUCACUGACUCAAUGCACCAUAUGUGUAGGCACUUCAGUUUAAAAGUGUUUGAUGGGUACAAGAGAUUGUGUUGUGCAUAAUAAACUGAUGGACAAGACCAAAGAUGUAAAUGGUUUUGAAUGCAGCACUGUUGUGGGGGUAUCAACCGCCUAAUUAUAGUUUUUACAUACA